GUGUUACUCUUCACCCUGAUUGGACGAUGCGUGGGGUUCAGAAAAAUCUAAUUUAUUGAGGUAAGGUUAGCUGCAGGAUCGCAAAACUACAGUGACUGAGGCUCUGAAUCGAAGCAGAGAUGCAAGUAUAUUUAGGCUGUACUUUUCCCAAAAUAUAAUUUCUCACUUACAGACAUUCUAUGCAAUGCGCCUGACGUGAUAAUUAAACGUGCCAACGAUGGUUAUUGUAGCCCACCUGACCCAUCUACAACGAAUUCAUGCCAGGAAAAUAAGGUCACAUUUUUCCGGUUUGGUUCAGCUUGAGUUUUGGUUUAGGCUAUAUCCCAAUGAGGUCAAGGCAAUGACCUCCACUGGCCAGCCGGAGACAACAGUUGGAGACAAGCCGCAGGCGAGAGUUUUAGCAUGCCCGGAGGUUCCUCCUCUCGUGCUGCCUCACUAUACUGACAAAGGGUCAGCCUUCGACCCUCCCCAUUGCUCCUACCACAGCCUGGGCCACUGUCUGCGCACCAACAUCUUUCCAGGAGCUCCUCCGGUGUGGAAGUCCCUGAUAUAA
rnacentral:lncRNA from 1 species